rnacentral:rRNA from 1 species
CUUUCCCUCUGGCUGCAGGCCUAACACAUGCAAGUCGAGCGGAUGAAGGGAGCUUGCUCCUGGAUUCAGCGGCGGACGGGUGAGUAAUGCCUAGGAAUCUGCCUGGUAGUGGGGGAUAACGUCCGGAAACGGGCGCUAAUACCGCAUACGUCCUGAGGGAGAAAGUGGGGGAUCUUCGGACCUCACGCUAUCAGAUGAGCCUAGGUCAGAUUAGCUAGUUGGUGGGGUAAAGGCCUACCAAGGCGACGAUCCGUAACUGGUCUGAGAGGAUGAUCAGUCACACUGGAACUGAGACACGGUCCAGACUCCUACGGGAGGCAGCAGUGGGGAAUAUUGGACAAUGGGCGAAAGCCUGAUCCAGCCAUGCCGCGUGUGUGAAGAAGGUCUUCGGAUUGUAAAGCACUUUAAGUUGGGAGGAAGGGCAGUAAGUUAAUACCUUGCUGUUUUGACGUUACCAACAGAAUAAGCACCGGCUAACUUCGUG